UACGUAGGGGCCGAGCGUUGUCCGGAGUUAUUGGGCGUAAAGCGCGCGCAGGCGGCGGUGUUUGCCCGACGUGAAAGCCCCCGGCUUAACCGGGGAGGGUCGUGGGGGACGGCACCGCUUGAGGGCGGGAGAGGGCGGUGGAAUUCCCGGUGUAGUGGUGAAAUGCGUAGAGAUCGGGAGGAACACCUGUGGCGAAGGCGGCCGCCUGGGCCGACCCUGACGCUGAGGCGCGAAGGCGUGGGGAGCGAACGGGAUUAGAAACCCCCGUAGUCC
rnacentral:rRNA from 1 species